rnacentral:sRNA from 1 species
AGCGGUUGCGGGCUGAGCGGUUUCGAGCCGGCGUCGGGGAGCGGCGGUACCGGGCGGCUGCGGGGCUGGCUCGACCCAGCUUGAGGUCUCGGCGUCCGCGUCCUGCGGUGCCCUGGGGUCUCCCGAGGACCUUGUACCCGCGCGGCUUCCUUGGGCUGGUUUUGGACGACGCUUUCGCCUUCCUGCUGCCUAGGAUCCGCCGACAUGAAUCCCAUCGUAGUGGUCCACGGCGGCGGAGCCGGUCCCAUCUCCAAGGAUCGGAAGGAGCGAGUGCACCAGGGCAUGGUCAGAGCCGCCACCGUGGGCUACGGCAUCCUCCGGGAGGGCGGGAGCGCCGUGGAUGCCGUAGAGGGAGCUGUCGUCGCCCUGGAAGACGAUCCCGAGUUCAACGCAGGUAAAUGUCCCUUUCAGCUAGUAAAUAAUGUGAGUCAGGUCAAGCUCCUUCUUCAGAAUAAAUAGAACCUACAUAGUGUUAGGGAAUCUAAUGAGCUUUGGGGUGAAACUAAGUAUGUAAAAAAGAAUAUUUAAUUUUUCUACCUGUACUGAAAAGAGUCAAACGCC